AGUCUCACCUCUGAGGUGACAAGAAGGCGGUUCACCCAGGGCUGAGGCUUUCAGGGGACCAUAUGCACUACUGGGUUGUGCUGACCCCUGGAUUCCCCAAAUGUGGAUAAUCUCGAUUAGUAUAAUUUAUGGUAGUGGGGGGCUUGCGGCGUUCGCGCUCUCCCCUG